UACGUAGGUGGCAAGCGUUGUCCGGAUUUACUGGGCGUAAAGAGCGCGCAGGCGGUCGUUCAAGUCGCGUGUGAAAGCCCCCGGCUCAACUGGGGAGGGUCACGCGAUACUGAUCGACUCGAAGGCAGGAGAGGGAAGUGGAAUUCCCGGUGUAGUGGUGAAAUGCGCAGAUAUCAGGAAGAACACCCGUGGCGAAGGCGGCUCUCUGGGACGGUACUGACGCUGAGACGCGAAAGCGUGGGGAGCGAACAGG
rnacentral:rRNA from 1 species